UUCGCUGUGCGCUCGCGUCACCCGGUCGUCUUUUCUCAACCCACUACCCCUUUCUCUCUUGUCCUAGGUUUCUCAAAUCUCCCGGUCCCUUCUCGUUUCACUCUCGUAGUCUUCUUCUUCACCUCCUCCAGUGGCGCACGGCUUCGAUUGCGCUGCCUCUGGGCUCCAAGAGGACGUCCUCACCCGCGGCGGCGCCUCUGCGGACAAGAAGCUCCCGCUGCAGCACGAGGCGCCGAGCCGCUGCUGUGGCGGCGUCGCAUAGCUUUGCCUGUAGCUCUGGCUCCUCCGGUGCCUUCGUCAGCAUGAGCACAUGAUCCUGAAAAGUGGUUGGAGUUAAAGUUACAAAAAACUGCGAGCGUCAAUCAGCACACUCAGUAAUUUAGGGGUUGUAUUGGGGAGGAAUCGGAGGAGAAAGUACGCUAUUCUCCUGUUUAUCUUGAUGGAAAGAUGAGACGCUUCCCUGCCCAUUUUUGCAAAAACCUAAUCAACUUCUACCUUUCCUUCAACCAAUAUGACUCUGCACGGCUCGUUCUCGAAUCGAUCCCGGACCCAGUGGAUAUCUCCGUGUGGAACGGUCUCCUUGCCGCGUACUCUAAGAACAGAAUGUACCGAGAAGCCCUGCUUCUGUUUAGAAAGCUCGUGCUUUAUCCUCACCUUGAGCCGGAUGAUUACACUUACCCAAGUGUUCUAAAGGCUUGCUGGGGAUUGCGUGGUGUGAGGGAAGGUGAGAUGGUACAUGCCCGCGUGCUGAAAUCUGGUUUUGGGUCUGAUGUUGUCAUCUCGAGCUCUCUAGUGAGCAUGCAUGCAAAAUGCGAUCGAUUUGGAUCCGCAAUUAAGCUGUUCCAUGAAAUGCCCGAAAGGGAUGUUGCUUCUUGGAACACGGUGAUCUCUUGUUAUUACCAAUCCGGCCAGGCUUCGAAAGCUCUGGAGUUGUUUGAAGCUAUGAGCAGUUGCGGGCUUAAUCCGAAUUCAGUUACACUCACGACAGCACUUUCUGCUUGUGCUCGGCUUGGAGAUUUGGUGACAGGUAGGCGGAUACAUGAUGAAUUAAUCAGAAUUGAGUUUCCGAUAGAUUCGUUCAUUAGUGCUGCUCUUGUGGAUAUGUAUGGGAAGUGCGGGUGCUUGGAGAAAGCUAGAGAAGUCUUUGAGCAGAUCCGACAAAAGAGUGUUGUAACUUGGAACUCCAUGAUUGGCGGGUACUCCUUGCGAGGUGAUAGUCAUGCUUGUUUGGAGCUUUUUGUAAGGAUGAACAAAGAGGGGUUCUGUCCCACUUCAACUACUAUAUCUAGUUUGCUGAUGGCUUGUUCUAGAAAUUCUGAUAUACGGCAUGGCAAAUUCAUACAUGGAUAUCUGCUAAGACACCAUGUAGAAGUUGAUAUAUUUAUUUACAGCUCAUUAAUUGAUAUUUAUUUCAAGUGCGGCAAAGCUAGAUAUGCUGAAGAAGUAUUUAAGAUCAUGCCUAAGGAAAAUGUAGUUUCGUGGAAUGUGAUGAUUUCAGGGUAUGUGACAGUGGGCAACUACUUCAAAGCUCUUGAUAUAUUCCAUGCUAUGAGAGCUCAUGGAGUAACACCAGAUUAUAUUACGUAUACCUCCAGUUUAACUGCCUGUUCUCAAUUAGCUGCUCUUGAGAUCGGCAGGGAAAUUCAUAAGAAAAUCAACAAAAUUGGGUUGGAUUCUAAUGAGAUCGUUAUGUGUUCUCUUUUUGACAUGUAUGCGAAAUGUGGUGCGCUUAGAGAGGCAAGAGAGGCUUUUGAUAAACUACCAGUCAAGGACAUUGUCUCUUGGACUUCCAUGAUAAUGGCUUACGGUUCCCAUGGUCAAGCACAUGAUGCGUUACAGCUUUUCCAUGAAUUGCGGCAGUUGAGUUUAAAACCAGAUGGUGUAACAUUCCUUGCAGUAAUCUCUGCUUGCAGUCAUGUAGGAUUGGUUGAUGACGGGCUUUAUUUUUUUGAACAAAUGAUGCAUGAAUAUGGAAUUAAACCUGGUAUUGAGCAUUACUCUUGCAUCAUAGAUCUUCUUGGCCGCUCUGGAAGGUUGAAUGAUGCUUACAGUAUAUUUAAAAGUGUACCUGAAAGCAAAUUGGAUGCUGGGUUAAUUGGUACAAUGCUCUCAGCAUGCAGUUUGUCUAAGAACAUGAAGCUUGGACAAGAGAUGGCUAAGCUGCUUAUUCAAAUUGAUCCAAAUGAUCACUCUAAUUAUGUAGUUUUGUCAAACUUAUAUGCUUCUGUUGGAAGAUGGGAUGGGGUAAAGAAAGUACGGGUGAUAAUAAGAGAGAGAGGAUUGAAAAAGAAUCCUGGUUGUAGCUGGGUUGAGGUUGACCGAAAGAUCCAUCAAUUCUUUGUCGACGAUGAUUCUCAUCCUCAGAUACUGUUGAUAUAUAAGUGUUUACGUGGUAUUGGAAUGCACAUGGGAAAGGACAGAUCUCAUGAUAGAAUAAACAAUGGAAUGAGCUUCCAUGAUUGAUUUUUGGAAACAACUGUUUGCUGUCAAUACAUGAAUUUUUUGUUUAGAUAUAGAUGCAUGGUGUCUGAAUAUUAGGAUACGCUUUUUGAAACAUUUGUUAUCCCACAUUACAGGGUAAAAAGAGGAUAGAAGCUGAAUGAUGUUUGUGCACUACUUCUUGGUGGUCUCUCUCUUAAAGAUGGUUGCGAUAAUUGAAACGGCUCCAGGACUUCUUGAUUGGUGGUGAGAGCACUUUGGAUGGCCUACUUCGUAGGCAAUCGGUUGCUCUCAAUUGUGAUGCUAUUGCUUGAUGUUUGCGGAUUCUUUCACUAUGCGUUGGAAAGAUUAAAAAUGUGGAAGCUUGGUGCUGGGAAGCUUUUUCCGUAGUGGUAACUUCCAGUCUGUGUGGACACUAGAAGAAAUAUGAGUGGGAUUUGGAUGGUCUAAUUUAUAGGCAACCAGCUCUUGGUGAUCAUUGUACCCUCCUCAACCUAUAUCUUAAGAUGAACCAAAUCUUCUAUUUUGCUUGCUGUUGCCUUUUGCAGCAGUGUGGAUGGAAAAAAUGAAAAAAAAAGGAGUUUUGGACUGUCUACUUUCUAGGCAACCACCUUUUGGUGUUCACUAUCCCUUCCUCAACCUAUAUCUUAAGCAUGUGGAGUCCAGUUUUCAUGGCUCGGCAGCGGAGUACAGCAUGAGCUUUCUUCCUCCCUCUACUGUUUUGUGAUCAUUGGCCGUCCAUAACUUCUUGCCGGUGCCUACUAUCAUCAGCUGAGCCACCCUCUACUUCCAACUUUAUUCUCUGAAGAAGCUCAAUCUGGUGGGGCACAAUCGUUGAACAAUCUUAGCAUCUUUGGUCAACUGUAUAAUGGGAUUUACUGAAUCAGUGCAUUACACUCAGACGCUUAUUGACGGGGCCAAGUUCGACUCAACCCGGAAUUGUGGGACGCCCUUGAAUUUUAAGCUUGGUCAAGGUGAAUUUUGAGAGUGCAACUGUUGAUUAGGGAUGAAAUUUGUAAUGCAGCUUAUUAUAAUGUAAAUCCGAUCAGGCUGUUUCAAUUUGUACAUCAUCAAUAAACUGACAAAUUCAUAAUGAUUUGUUCUGUGGCAUGGUUUUUAAUUGAUUGAGCUAAUUUUUUCAUCCAAUGGAGUAUGUUAAACAAGUUCAAUUUGUCCUGAUCGAACUCAACAGGCUCAGAUUCAUGUAUAGGAGAAUUGAUUUCCUGCGUUAUGAAAACACAUUAACCAGAUUA